rnacentral:rRNA from 1 species
GUACGGCGAGUGAAGCGGGAUGAGCUCAAAUUUAAAAUCUGGCGGUCUCAGAUCGUCCGAGUUGUAGUCUAGAGAAGCGUUUUCCGUGCUGGCCUGUGUACAAGUCCGUUGGAACACGGCGUCAUAGAGGGUGAGAAUCCCGUCCUUGACACAGAUCUCCAGUGCUUUGUGAUGCGCUCUCAAAGAGUCGAGUUGUUUGGGAAUGCAGCUCAAAAUGGGUGGUAAAUUCCAUCUAAAGCUAAAUAUUGGCGAGAAACCGAUAGCGAACAAGUACCGUGAGGGAAAGAUGAAAAGCACUUUGGAAAGAGAGUUAAACAGUACGUGAAAUUGUUGAAAGGGAAACGAUUGAAGUCAGUCAUGCUUUCCGAGACUCAGCCGGUUCUGCCGGUGUACUUCUCGGUUUGCAGGCCAGCAUCAGUUUUGGGCGGUGGAAAAGGUUGGCGGGAAUGUGGCAUCUUCGGAUGUGUUAUAGCCCGCUUUCGAAUACAUCGCCCGGGACUGAGGAACGCAGCACGCCUCUUGUAGGUCGGUCUUCGGACACGUCCGUGCUUAGGAUGCUGGCAUAAUGGCUUUAAACGACCCGUCUUGAAACACGGACC